UCGUCCUACGGGGCGCAGCAGUGGGGAAUAUUGGGCAAUGGGCGCAAGCCUGACCCAGCAACGCCGCGUGAAGGAAGAAGGCUUUCGGGUUGUAAACUUCUCUUCUCAGGGACGAAGAAAGUGACGGUACCUGAGGAAUAAGCCACGGCUAACUACGUGCCAGCAGCCGCGGUAAUACGUAGGGGGCAAGCGUUGUCCGGAUUUACUGGGUGUAAAGGGCGUGCAGCCGGAGAGACAAGUCAGAUGUGAAAUCCACGGGCUCAACCCGUGAACUGCAUUUGAAACUGUUUCCCUUGAGUGUCGGG
rnacentral:rRNA from 1 species